GGGGCAGCAGUGGGGAAUUUUGGACAAUGGGCGAAAGCCUGAUCCAGCAAUGCCGCGUGUGUGAAGAAGGCCUUCGGGUUGUAAAGCACUUUUGUCCGGAAAGAAAUGGCUCUGGUUAAUACCUGGGGUCGAUGACGGUACCGGAAGAAUAAGGACCGGCUAACUACGUGCCAGCAGCCGCGGUAAUACGUAGGGUCCAAGCGUUAAUCGGAAUUACUGGGCGUAAAGCGUGCGCAGGCGGUUGUGCAAGACCGAUGUGAAAUCCCCGAGCUUAACUUGGGAAUUGCAUUGGUGACUGCACGGCUAGAGUGUGUCAGAGGGGGGUAGAAUUCCACGUGUAGCAGUGAAAUGCGUAGAGAUGUGGAGGAAUACCGAUGGCGAAGGCAGCCCCCUGGGAUAACACUGACGCUCAUGCACGAAAGCGUGGGGAGCAAACAGGAUUAGAUACCCUGGUAGUCCACGCCCUAAACGAUGUCAACUAGUUGUUGGGGAUUCAUUUCCUUAGUAACGUAGCUAACGCGUGAAGUUGACCGCCUGGGGAGUACGGUCGCAAGAUUAAAACUCAAAUUUUGGGGCGCGGGGG
rnacentral:rRNA from 1 species